GCUAACGCCAAACAAGUAGCGUGCAUGUGUAAUUAAUUAGUCUGCCUCAUUAAGAAGGAUUUGUUACAUUACGUUACAAACGUAAACAAAAAAUGAAGGCUUUUACAAACUACACGGAUCAUUCGAUGUUUCUAUCGGUCGAUUUCGAAAUAGUUGGACUCGUUCAGGGGGUGUUCUUCAGAAAGUACGCGUUACACGCAGCAAAUAAGCUGGGUGUGACGGGCUGGAUAAAAAAUACACGGACUGGGGGCAUCAUGGGCAACAUUCAGGGCGUGCAAGUUCAGCAACGAGCGCGAGCUCAUUAAUCUCGACCAUCACCACUUCACCAUCUCCCCCAGCGACUGGUAGUUCUGUUCUUAUAGGAGACAACAUCCGGGUCCCGGCGAUUUUAAACUGGAUUGCGUGAACGAAUCAAAGUACUGAAAGUACUGGUGUGACGAUGCUUUUGAAAAGGAUGGAUAUAUAGAGGAUAUUUGUUGGAUUCGGUGGAAUAUCGAUUUUCCCAGAAAAACAGCGAACAAUGUCGAUAUUUUCACUGUUAUUUUUCACUGUUUAAAACAGUGAAAUACCAGUUUAUUUCACUGAUAUUUCUGCAAAAUCACCGGAAAGCAUAAAAUAAAUAA